rnacentral:lncRNA from 1 species
UAAAUGCCUAUUGUAAUGCUAAUAUUAGGCAUAAAAACAAACUUUUGGACAAAGUUUUAAAUAUUGAGGUAAAUUAUUUUGUCUAUUUAUUCGAUGCUUAUCAAUUUGAUUCUAAUAUCUAUAAUCAUUGUCGAUCAUGUUAAAAUAAAAAAGAAUUUUUGCUAGUUAAAAUUAUAUAAUUAUGAAGAUUUAAUUUCAAAAUUCAAUGUUUUAAUAUGGAUCGAAAUGAAUGUACAGUACAUGUUGAAGAAGUCGAUUCAUUCAAGGAAGUUUUAACAUAUUAAUUUACUAUAAUACAUUUUAAAUUUUCCAAAAUGAAUGACUUUGUAAAAAUAUACCGUAUAUAUAUUUGCAACAAUAUAGAGUUUGAGCAUGGCGUUUUCCGUAUACACUUAUAAAACACAUACGGUAGACAGCGCCGAAGACGUUUGCGGUGGUUAUGUUUCGUGGGUUAUAAGUUAUGUUAUAAAACUAUCCAAAUAUCUUCGCAAACUUGAUUUAAAAAUCUCUUCCAGAGCUUUUAUUCUUUCUAGUUCUGUGAAACGGAAUCUACUUUUCACCGUUCAUUUUAAUUGAUUUUAACCAAAACUACAGAAUGAGACGAAUCCGAUAUGGC